CGGCCUUGGGCGGUGACUGGGAAGAACGUUGAACACCGUGUUUGGGCUGAAGAAAAGAGCAAGGGAAGAGGUAAAAAUUAUACAGUGAAACACAUUCAUCUUGAGUACAAAUCAGUGGGUUAUGACAAAUGUCUGCAUCUGUGCCUAAGCAGUACCCUGAGGAGGACACUGAACGUUUCCAUCAUCCAAAAAGUUCCCCAUGCUGUUUGCCAUUCGCCCUCACCCUCCGGCCCCAGCAAGCCCUGUUGAGUCUCAUCGGAGUUCCUUCCUCCACCAAGGGAUAGAAACUCACCUGAUUGCUGCAUGCAGACACUGACACUCCCGACCCCUCAUUCGUCACAAUUGAUGCCUUACUCCUGCCUGAUUGCUGUCUUCCUGCUCAUAAUUAAAUUCCUUCCCCCCGCUAUAUAAUGCCUCCGGCUUUAGUCAGCUGGAGAGAGGGAUUUGAGACUGAUCUCCUGUUCUCUUGGGCUGAUGUCAACCAUAAUAUAAUAAAGUUUUCUUCCCCGGCAUUACUUUUCUUAAUGAUUGGCUUUCUGUGCAGAACCUAUACUGAACCUAUACUGAACCCCUGGCAUUUCGGUAACAGAUUUUGGUCCACUAAUCAGGAAUGGGUUGCCUCUGGCUGGUGGCCACAGAUGGGGAGAGUCUCAGAGGCCCUCCUAAGCAGCUGCCUGACCUUUUUUUGGCCAAAGGUGGAUUUCUGUCUGUCUCUCUUUGUCCCCACUGCUGCUGACUCUAACUGUGUUCCUGAUUUGUCUAGGAAGAGCAGCCUUUGAAAUGUGACAUAUGCAUCUGACCGGUGUCUUUUGUGGGUACCAGAUGGCAGGAUCUGCUUCUCUCAAUUUGGGU
ensembl:lncRNA LINC02175 long intergenic non-protein coding RNA 2175